UUAAAUUGAAGAGUUUGAUCAUGGCUCAGAUUGAACGCUGGCGGCAGGCCUAACACAUGCAAGUCGAACGGUAACAGGAAGCAGCUUGCUGCUUUGCUGACGAGUGGCGGACGGGUGAGUAAUGUCUGGGAAACUGCCUGAUGGAGGGGGAUAACUACUGGAAACGGUGGCUAAUACCGCAUAACGUCGCAAGACCAAAGAGGGGGACCUUCGGGCCUCUC
rnacentral:rRNA from 1 species